UCACUUUUUAUACGGAGUUUGAAACUAAACGUGUCUCCGCGUCUCUGCUAUAGGCGGCAGACCUUCUCGCUCCGCCUUUCGGGGUGGAAACGACUCGCUGGUUGGCUGUGUUUGAAGUUGGUGUUUCCAAUCAAGUGGAGAAGAGGAGAGGAUCUCGGCGACUUUUAAAAGUUUCUAACGCCCGUCCAUGCUUCUAGACGCAACAUUCAUCUAUCGUCUUAGCCCGGAGCUUGGGCGCGGUGGAAAUGAUGCUUUGACAAAGUAAUAGCGACCAGGUUUUCAAGGUCCACACUUCUUGCUCAGUGGUAGUUUCCAAUCUGCUGUUUUCCAUUCACACAGGGUCACAAGAUUGCCUUUGGAGCACUUCGAAGUCCGCUUUGCUCUUCAUCAUCCUGAAUAAUUUACUGUUACCUGCAAUCUUAACCAUUGUACAUCAUCCCUGACUCCAAAUUGUUUUAUGAGCAAGUUAAACAGCACCCAUCCCAACACAAAGCCUUGAGACCUGCGUUGCUUUCUUCCCUCCGCUGUGAGUAAAGUCCAGGUAUAGAAUACUUAUCACAAACCCCCUUCCAUGUGCUUUGAUGGCGCUCUGAAAGAAGUUUAAAAGGUUGGUGGAGUCGGACUUCCCUUUUCAAAAGACAAGCUGAUUCUUGCUCAGUAAGACUUGUUCUUCUGUAUGUUAAUAAUUCUAGCUUUAGUUACACUUUCCACCAAUUUA